rnacentral:rRNA from 1 species
UACGUAGGGAGCAAGCGUUGUUCGGAUUUACUGGGCGUAAAGGGCGCGUAGGCGCGCGGUAAGUCACUUGUGAAAUCUCUGAGCUUAACUCAGAACGGCCAAGUGAUACUGCAGUGCUAGAGUGCAGAAAGGGCAAUCGGAAUUCUUGGUGUAGCGGUGAAAUGCGUAGAUAUCAAGAGGAACACCUGAGGCGAAGGCGGGUUGCUAGGCUGACACUGACGCUGAGGCGCGAAAGCCAGGGGAGCAAAACGGG